CUGUGGUGUUCUGCUACUUAGUCAAGCUCUUUCAAACCUUGUUAGCUGACAUUCACAUACUUACCAGUUUCUCCAGGUGAUCAGUAGGUGUCUGCUUCAGGAUGUCUCUGGUCACAACUAUGGUGGUUUGUGGUGGAGUGAUCCUUUUCUGUGUCGUCACCGUAGCCAUUGCUAACUUCUAUACUCAAAGAGAAUAUGACUAUAUUUAUUACAGAGAGAGUGUUUACAGUGAGUCAUCAAAGCGCAAGAAUUCUUAAAACUAGAGGAUGACAAAUGAAACCCAACAUGAGGCUAAGCAAAUCUUUAGAUUCUCAGAGGCAUCUAUUACUGAAAAUAAAAGAAGCCCUCCCUUUUCUGGGUUUCCCAAACCCAAGCUAACUCUGCCUUUCCUCAAGCAUUGAAAUAAAUGU